UGUCUUGAUCCCUUCCAUUUCAGCAUAUAGUUUGACUUUUUUCCACUUUCGACACCACAUUUUUUCAGUAUUAUUUUUCCUAAACUCUAUUUUGCUUGCUCUUGCUUAUGAGGCUUCAUUAUUGCAUUGAAAUCAAUUCCGUAUGUAAUGAAUGUCUCAUGUGACUGUUCAACAUUAGAACUCAUCACCAAAUGAACAUUAUAUCCCGAAUAUCUGUGAUGGUGGUGGUUGAUGACAUUUGAUCCAUGGAAUUACUCAUCACCAAUGGAUUUUAGAUGACUUUUGAACUGAGAAAGUGCUUUGACCUUGAUUGGAAGUAUUCAAAUAAGAGUUUGCUAAGCCUUCAUGCAAUCCUUAAACAGCCACCUUUGGCCUGGUUCACUCAUCAGGCAGGCCAAGUGUGCAUAUCAAAUGUGGACCAUUGAUAAUUUUUUAAAGAUUGUUCGGGGCUUUAAGAAAGAAGAAGAAGGAGAAAAACAACGUUCAUAGAUUUCAUCCAUGUAUGUCCCAGCUGAUGAGUUAAUUGACCUGAUUCUUGGGCUUGGUCAUUUACAUGGAGGGGCCCGCCUGAUGCACGGCACACAUGUCCCAUGGAUGUGUCAAGUUUGCACACCUAUCUGUGUAGAGGAGUUUCCAACCAUCCAUCCAACCAUCCAACCUUCCAUCCAAACAUCCAUUGAUUUUCAGAAUAUCAACAAUGGACAGUAUUCUGCCCAGAAAUCGUCAAUAACUGGAAAGGAAAUGAAAGACUGUGGCCUCGACAUCGCCCAUGUUGCUAUAACGAUAAUAUCGCGAUAGUAUUGAUAUUAUUGUCGACAAAUUGAACAAAACAUACAACCAUGCACCCAUAAAAAAAUGAAAUGAUUUUUUUCAAUAAACAGAUUGUUAGUGUUGUAAUAGGUUUUGGUUGAUAUUAUUGUCGAGUUGUAUAGGUUUUUAGCUUUUGGUUCAGCUCUUUCUGUUGAAUUUUUGCUUUUUGCUUUUCUUGUUUGUGUUUUUCUUUUGUGCUUUAAUAAUAUUUUCAAUCUUCAAAAAAAAAAAAAGAAAAAAAGAAAAAAGAAAAAGAAUCUGACAGAGGGUUGAUUACUAAUGUGAGUGAAGUAAUGCAGUGAAGCCGGUACUUGAUGAAAGAAA